rnacentral:rRNA from 1 species
CCUACGGGUGGCAGCAGUGGGGGAUAUUGCACAAUGGGGGGAACCCUGAUGCAGCGACGCCGCGUGGGUGAAGAAGCGCCUCUGCGCUUAAAGCCCUUUCAGCAGGGAAGAAAAGGACGGUACCUGAAGAAGAAGCCCCGGCCAACUACGUUCCAGCAGCCGCGGUACUACGUCGGGGGCAGGUGUUAUCCGGAUUUACUGGGUGUUAUGGGGGCGCAGACGGCGUUGCAAGCAAGGAGGGAAAGCCUGGGGCCCAACCCCGGGACUGCGAUUGAAACUGCGUGGCUGGAGUGCAGGAGGGGCAGGCGGAAUUCCUGGUGUAGCGGUGAAAUGCGUAGAUAUCAGGAGGAACACCGAUGGCGAAGGCGGAUUGCUGGACAGUAACUGACGCUGAGGCGCGAAAGCGUGGGGAGCAAACAGGAUUAGAUACCCCUGUAGUC